rnacentral:rRNA from 1 species
AGCGAACGCUGGCGGCAGGCCUAACACAUGCAAGUCGAACGAACCUUUCGGGGUUAGUGGCGGACGGGUGAGUAACACGUGGGAACGUGCCUUUAGGUUCGGAACAACUCAGGGAAACUUGUGCUAAUACCGAAUGUGCCCUUCGGGGGAAAGAUUUAUCGCCUUUAGAGCGGCCCGCGUCUGAUUAGCUAGUUGGUUGAGGUAAUGGCUCACCAAGGCGACGAUCAGUAGCUGGUCUGAGAGGAUGAUCAGCCACAUUGGGACUGAGACACGGCCCAAACUCCUGCGGGAGGCAGCAGUGGGGAAUCUUGCGCAAUGGGCGAAAGCCUGACGCAGCCAUGCCGCGUGAAUGAUGAAGGUCUUAGGAUUGUAAAAUUCUUUCACCGGGGACGAUAAUGACGGUACCCGGAGAAGAAGCCCCGGCUAACUUCGUG